UAGAAGCAAAUUUGCAGUAGCUUUUGUAGAAUCUUUCUCUUCAAAGGCUUCUAUUACUUUAUUUUUAAUUUUGUUAUUGCUCUCAUUGAUAUUCAUGAAGAGGAUAUCACUAUUGAGGAAGAUAAAGGUCUCAUUCUUGCUUCGGAGUUGCAUUUGCAAAAGGUACUGAAAAAAGGUGUCUUCAAAUUCAGUGUUUGCUUAUUUUGUUUCUCAACCUAUGCAGAAUGAUGUUGAAUAAACAUUUUCUGCUUUUGAACAGAAUUCUAGUUGAAAUAAUUAUAAUGAUUUUCGUGGUUGAUGAUGUGGUCGUGAGGCCGUAACAAAGUUCAAUCUCAAGUUUUCUUUAAAAUUGAUCAUAUAAACUUUACAUGCUAUCAUCGACAUUAGCAGCUCCAACCUCUUGCUAGUAUGCAACCUUCUCCAUUGUUUCAAUUUUGAAGACCAACAUGGAAUCAAUAUCUCACCACAAUGGACCCAACCCUCACAACAUCAGAAUCAGUGUUCUACAUAGUGAGCUUUAUCUGAGCAAUUUGGUAAACCACGACGACAAAAAGAUAGGCUUUUUACCAGAGAUGUUGAUUGAAAGCUGACCAAAGAUUUUGAGAUUGAAUAUCAUGUUUUAUUUUUGUUGAAAUGUAAUGUUAUUUUCUUAUUAUUUCUUCUGUAUGUAUCCAACUUUAGGGAUAGGGUUUAAGAUAAGUCAAUGUGUUUAGAUAAUUUAAUACUCCUUUCUCCUGCAAUUCCAGAGAAACUACCAUUUGCAA
rnacentral:lncRNA from 1 species